AGCAUGUUUUCUAGAAGUGAAAUCAGGUUACGAAGAGCACUAAGGCAGCUUUGAAGGGGAAGUCCUGAGAGAACAGGCGGAGACACCAGACCUGAAAUGAAUGCUGGAGGCUGGCUGAGUUGCAAUAAAAGAGCAGGGAAUCUUUUAAUGUCAAUAGGCAGCAGGCCAUCUCCAUGCCCUCUGCCGUUUUCGUCUUUACAAAUGCCAUAAGGAUGUCCAUGAUGUGCUUAGCGAGAUGGAAACAGUGGUGCCUGGCUGCUGGCUCUGGGGAAGAGGAACCUGAGGACAACAACAUUUCCCAGAAAAUAAGAAACAAAACACAACUGAGUUAAACAAUGAAGAAAGCAAGCUUUGAUGACAAACUUUUGGCUGAGAAGUUGUGCUUUGUUUAUGAGGAACUGAUGAACUGGAUGAGGAAAUGGUUUUGGUUUGUUUGGUGGUGAACAAAGAUUUACAAAUACACACAUCUUGCAAAUACCAUUUCUAGGAAUAAGAAAGAAAAAAAAAAACCUGUGAAAGUUCACGGAGAUGACAGACUUUCUGGGAUCAGGGAGGACAAUCUUGCAUUUUUAAUUAAUAAUAACUAACACGUAUUGGGCACUUGGUAGGUGGCAGACACCAGGUUAAGUGUUUCUAUGAGGUUUCUCCUCCAGUUCUUAUGGGUACUCUGUGUAGGGUCUUAGAAAACAAUGCCCCAAAAUGAAGGCCUCAGAAGCAACAGUUUCUCUCUGACUUUCUCCUGCUCUCUUAUCUCUGGCUUCUCAUUCUGCCCAAGGCUAACCAUAGAAACUAGAAUCCCCUUUCCCCAAAGUGGGUAAUAGAAGCCAGAAUCCUUUUCCCCCAAGUCAGCCAUAACCUAAAAAUAUUACUUUAACUUUCCUCCUGUCUUUCUGUGUAAAAACUGGCCAUGAAGAAAUUAUCUGACCUGCCUUGUUUGACUAUAGGUCAUAAGACCCCCUUGCCAGAGAGGGUCCUGUCCCACACCCAGUAGGAAGAAACGCUGCACAAGAGACCAAGAAGAAUUGAGAUGGACAGCGCUGGGCUUUCCCAGUCUCAGUGUUAGAUCAGACCCUUUCUGUCCAUACUUUGUUGAACAUAAGCAUAAAAUAGACAGUUUCCCCUGUAUCUUUGGGUCUUCAUGCUGAAAGUUCCCGUGUCAUGUAAAACUAUGAUCAAAUACACGUGUCUACCUUGUCUCCUAUUAAUCAGCUUUUGUCAGCAGUUUCCAGUGAAAUGUCAGAAGGUGAUGGGGAAGUUUCCCCUUGGCCCCAAUGUCUGUUAGGUAGAUGUUCCUAUG